rnacentral:rRNA from 1 species
GACGAACGCUGGCGGCGUGCUUAACACAUGCAAGUCGAACGGAAAGGCCCUGCUUUUGUGGGGUGCUCGAGUGGCGAACGGGUGAGUAACACGUGAGUAACCUGCCCUUGACUUUGGGAUAACUUCAGGAAACUGGGGCUAAUACCGGAUAGGAGCUCCUGCUGCAUGGUGGGGGUUGGAAAGUUUCGGCGGUUGGGGAUGGACUCGCGGCUUAUCAGCUUGUUGGUGGGGUAGUGGCUUACCAAGGCUUUGACGGAUAGCCGGCCUGAGAGGGUGACCGGCCACAUUGGGACUAAGGGACGGACCAGACUCGAACGGGAGGCAGCAGUGGGAAAUAUUGCACAAUGAGAGCAAGCCUGAUGCGGAAACGCCGCGUGCGGGAUGACGUCCUUCGGGUUAUAAACCGCUUUCGCCUGUGACGAAGCGUGAGUGACGGUAAUGGGUAAAGAAGCACCGGCUAACUACGUG